rnacentral:tRNA from 1 species
GCCUCCGUAGCACUGGUCUAGUACACCAGGGGUCGAAAGUUCAAUUCUCUCCGGAGGCA